UGAUUGGAAAAUAUACAAAAGAAACAAAGAGAAAGAUUCUAUAUGCAACUCUGUAAUCAAAGAGAGCAAUUUCUACGGAUUACCCAAAAUCCACAAAAGCUCCGGAAUACAAAGUGCCAUAAAUAAGCAGAAGAACCAGUACGUAAAAAAUACUAAGGCCAUUAGUUGCUGGACCUCAAGCACCAACACAACAACUGAGUCAUUUUUUAGAUAUACUCCUAAAACUUUUGUACCCUUCAAUACCCAGUUAUGUACGAGAUGGCAUAGAUUUCAUCCAACACAUCCCUUCCACUGUUGCAGAAGGUACUAUACUCGCAAGUUUUGAUGUUAUCAAUCUCUAUACUAAUAUACCUCACACUUUAGGCCUAGGAGCAGUCAAGCGCUGGGCAGAGAAUC